UACGGAGGGUGCAAGCGUUAUCCGGAAUCACUGGGUUUAAAGGGUGCGUAGGCGGCCUGUUAAGUCAGGGGUGAAAGGUCACGGCUCAACCGUGGAAUUGCCUUUGAUACUGACGGGCUUGAAUCAGGAUGAGGUCGGCGGAAUGUGGCAUGUAGCGGUGAAAUGCAUAGAUAUGCCAUAGAACACCAAUUGCGAAGGCAGCUGGCUAGACCUUGAUUGACGCUGAGGCACGAAAGCGUGGGGAGCGAACAGG
rnacentral:rRNA from 1 species